rnacentral:rRNA from 1 species
AUGAACGCUAGCUACAGGCUUAACACAUGCAAGUCGAGGGGCAGCAUGGUCUUAGCUUGCUAAGGCUGAUGGCGACCGGCGCACGGGUGAGUAACACGUAUCCAACCUGCCGUCUACUCUUGGCCAGCCUUCUGAAAGGAAGAUUAAUCCAGGAUGGGAUCAUGAGUUCACAUGUCCGCAUGAUUAAAGGUAUUUUCCGGUAGACGAUGGGGAUGCGUUCCAUUAGAUAGUAGGCGGGGUAACGGCCCACCUAGUCAACGAUGGAUAGGGGUUCUGAGAGGAAGGUCCCCCACAUUGGAACUGAGACACGGUCCAAACUCCUACGGGAGGCAGCAGUGAGGAAUAUUGGUCAAUGGGCGAUGGCCUGAACCAGCCAAGUAGCGUGAAGGAUGACUGCCCUAUGGGUUGUAAACUUCUUUUAUAAAGGAAUAAAGUCGGGUAUGCAUACCCGUUUGCAUGUACUUUAUGAAUAAGGAUCGGCUAACUCCGUGCCAGCAGCCGCGGUAAUACGGAGGAUCCGAGCGUUAUCCGGAUUUAUUGGGUUUAAAGGGAGCGUAGAUGGAUGUUUAAGUCAGUUGUGAAAGUUUGCGGCUCAACCGUAAAAUUGCAGUUGAUACUGGAUGUCUUGAGUGCAGUUGAGGCAGGCGGAAUUCGUGGUGUAGCGGUGAAAUGCUUAGAUAUCACGAAGAACUCCGAUUGCGAAGGCAGCCUGCUAAGCUGCAACUGACAUUGAGGCUCGAAAGUGUGGGUAUCAAACAGGAUUAGAUACCCUGGUAGUCCACACGGUAAACGAUGAAUACUCGCUGUUUGCGAUAUACGGCAAGCGGCCAAGCGAAAGCGUUAAGUAUUCCACCUGGGGAGUACGCCGGCAACGGUGAAACUCAAAGGAAUUGACGGGGGCCCGCACAAGCGGUGGAGCAUGUGGUUUAAUUCGAAGCAACGCGAAGAACCUUACCAGGUCUUGACAUCCCGAUGCUAUUUCUAGAGAUAGAAAGUUACUUCGGUACAUCGGUGACAGGUGGUGCAUGGUUGUCGUCAGCUCGUGUCGUGAGAUGUUGGGUUAAGUCCCGCAACGAGCGCAACCCUUAUGGUCAGUUACUACGCAAGAGGACUCUGGCCAGACUGCCGUUGACAAAACGGAGGAAGGUGGGGAUGACGUCAAAUCAGCACGGCCCUUACGUCCGGGGCUACACACGUGUUACAAUGGGGGGUACAGAGGGCCGCUACCACGCGAGUGGAUGCCAAUCCCUAAAACCCCUCUCAGUUCGGACUGGAGUCUGCAACCCGACUCCACGAAGCUGGAUUCGCUAGUAAUCGCGCAUCAGCCACGGCGCGGUGAAUACGUUCCCGGGCCUUGUACACACCGCCCGUCAAGCCAUGGGAGCCGGGGGUACCUGAAGUGCGUAACCGCGAGGAUCGCCCUAGGGUAAAACUGGUGACUGGGGCU